rnacentral:rRNA from 1 species
CCUACGGGUGGCAGCAGUGGGGAAUAUUGGACAAUGGGCGCAAGCCUGACCCAGCAACGCCGCGUGAAGGAAGAAGGCUCUCGGGUUGUAAACUUCUUUUAUCAGGGACGAAGCAAGUGCCGCUACCUGAUGAAUAAGCCCCGGCUAACUACUUGCCAGCAGCCGCGGUAAUACGUAGGUGGCAAGCGUUAUCCGGAUUUACUUGUUGUAAAGGGCGUGUAGGCGGGAGUGCAAGUCAGAUGUGAAAACUAUGGGCUCAACCCAUAGCCUGCAUUGGAAACUGUAAGUCUUGAGUGCUGUAGAGGUAAUCGGAAUUCCUGGUGUAGCGGUGAAAUGCGUAGAUAUACGGAGGAACACCAGUGGCGAAGGCGGAUCGCUGGACAGCAACUGACGCUGAGGCGCGAAAGCGUGGGGAGCAAACAGGAUUAGAUACCCUUGUAGUC